rnacentral:rRNA from 1 species
UUAAGCGACUAAGCGUACACGGUGGAUGCCCUGGCAGUCAGAGGCGAUGAAGGACGUGCUAAUCUGCGAAAAGCGUCGGUAAGGUGAUAUGAACCGUUAUAGCCGGCGAUGUCCGAAUGGGGAAACCCAGUGCAAUUCGUUGCACUAUCGUUAACUGAAUACAUAGGUUAACGAGGCGAACCGGGGGAACUGAAACAUCUAAGUACCCCGAGGAAAAGAAAUCAACCGAGAUUCCCCCAGUAGCGGCGAGCGAACGGGGAGCAGCCCAGAGUCUGAAUCAGCUUGUGUGUUAGUGGAACGGUCUGGAAAGUCCGACGGUACAGGGUGAUAGUCCCGUACACCAAAAUGCACAGGUUGUGAACUCGAAGAGUAGGGCGGGACACGUGGUAUCCUGUCUGAAUAUGGGGGGACCAUCCUCCAAGGCUAAAUACUCCUGACUGACCGAUAGUGAACCAGUACCGUGAGGGAAAGGCGAAAAGAACCCCGGCGAGGGGAGUGAAAAAGAACCUGAAACCGUGUACGUACAAGCAGUGGGAGCACCUUCGGGUGUGACUGCGUACCUUUUGUAUAAUGGGUCAGCGACUUAUAUUCUGUAGCAAGGUUAACCGUAUAGGGGAGCCGCAGGGAAACCGAGUCUUAACUGGGCGUUAAGUUGCAGGGUAUAGACCCGAAACCCGGUGAUCUAGCCAUGGGCAGGUUGAAGGUUGGGUAACACUAACUGGAGGACCGAACCGACUAAUGUUGAAAAAUUAGCGGAUGACUUGUGGCUGGGGGUGAAAGGCCAAUCAAACCGGGAGAUAGCUGGUUCUCCCCGAAAGCUAUUUAGGUAGCGCCUCGUGAAUUCAUCUUCGGGGGUAGAGCACUGUUUCGGCUAGGGGGUCAUCCCGACUUACCAACCCGAUGCAAACUACGAAUACCGAAGAAUGUUAUCACGGGAGACACACGGCGGGUGCUAACGUCCGUCGUGAAGAGGGAAACAACCCAGACCGCCAGCUAAGGUCCCAAAGUCAUGGUUAAGUGGGAAACGAUGUGGGAAGGCACAGACAGCCAGGAUGUUGGCUUAGAAGCAGCCAUCAUUUAAAGAAAGCGUAAUAGCUCACUGGUCGAGUCGGCCUGCGCGGAAGAUGUAACGGGGCUAAACCAUGCACCGAAGCUGCGGCAGCGACACUAUGUGUUGUUGGGUAGGGGAGCGUUCUGUAAGCCUGCGAAGGUGACCUGUGAGGGUUGCUGGAGGUAUCAGAAGUGCGAAUGCUGACAUAAGUAACGAUAAAGCGGGUGAAAAGCCCGCUCGCCGGAAGACCAAGGGUUCCUGUCCAACGUUAAUCGGGGCAGGGUGAGUCGACCCCUAAGGCGAGGCCGAAAGGCGUAGUCGAUGGGAAACAGGUUAAUAUUCCUGUACUUGGUGUUACUGCGAAGGGGGGACGGAGAAGGCUAUGUUAGCCGGGCGACGGUUGUCCCGGUUUAAGCAUGUAGGCUGGUUAUCCAGGCAAAUCCGGAUAAUCAAGGCUGAGGUGUGAUGACGAGGCACUACGGUGCUGAAGUAACAAAUGCCCUGCUUCCAGGAAAAGCCUCUAAGCAUCAGGUAACAUCAAAUCGUACCCCAAACCGACACAGGUGGUCAGGUAGAGAAUACCAAGGCGCUUGAGAGAACUCGGGUGAAGGAACUAGGCAAAAUGGUGCCGUAACUUCGGGAGAAGGCACGCUGGUGUGUAGGUGAAGUCCCUGCGGAUGGAGCUGAGACCAGUCGAAGAUACCAGCUGGCUGCAACUGUUUAUUAAAAACACAGCACUGUGCAAACACGAAAGUGGACGUAUACGGUGUGACGCCUGCCCGGUGCCGGAAGGUUAAUUGAUGGGGUUAUCCGUAAGGAGAAGCUCUUGAUCGAAGCCCCGGUAAACGGCGGCCGUAACUAUAACGGUCCUAAGGUAGCGAAAUUCCUUGUCGGGUAAGUUCCGACCUGCACGAAUGGCGUAAUGAUGGCCAGGCUGUCUCCACCCGAGACUCAGUGAAAUUGAACUCGCUGUGAAGAUGCAGUGUACCCGCGGCAAGACGGAAAGACCCCGUGAACCUUUACUAUAGCUUGACACUGAACAUUGAGCCUUGAUGUGUAGGAUAGGUGGGAGGCUUUGAAGCGUGGACGCCAGUCUGCGUGGAGCCAACCUUGAAAUACCACCCUUUAAUGUUUGAUGUUCUAACGUUGGCCCCUGACCGGGGUUGCGGACAGUGUCUGGUGGGUAGUUUGACUGGGGCGGUCUCCUCCCAAAGCGUAACGGAGGAGCACGAAGGUUAGCUAAUCCUGGUCGGACAUCAGGAGGUUAGUGCAAUGGCAUAAGCUAGCUUGACUGCGAGCGUGACGGCGCGAGCAGGUGCGAAAGCAGGUCAUAGUGAUCCGGUGGUUCUGAAUGGAAGGGCCAUCGCUCAACGGAUAAAAGGUACUCCGGGGAUAACAGGCUGAUACCGCCCAAGAGUUCAUAUCGACGGCGGUGUUUGGCACCUCGAUGUCGGCUCAUCACAUCCUGGGGCUGAAGUAGGUCCCAAGGGUAUGGCUGUUCGCCAUUUAAAGUGGUACGCGAGCUGGGUUUAGAACGUCGUGAGACAGUUCGGUCCCUAUCUGCCGUGGGCGCUGGAGAAUUGAGGGGGGCUGCUCCUAGUACGAGAGGACCGGAGUGGACGCAUCACUGGUGUUCGGGUUGUCAUGCCAAUGGCACUGCCCGGUAGCUAAAUGCGGAAGAGAUAAGUGCUGAAAGCAUCUAAGCACGAAACUUGCCCCGAGAUGAGUUCUCCCUGAGACUUUAAGUCUCCUGAAGGAACGUUAAAGACGAUGACGUUGAUAGGCCGGGUGUGUAAGCGCAGCGAUGCGUUGAGCUAACCGGUACUAAUGAACCGUGAGGCUUAACCUU